CUAGGAUACAGAUUUGGUGAGAACUGUACCAGUAGAGGCCACAUAUCACUCAUUAGACCAUUCCUGACCUAACCAGGCUCAUGUGGUGUUGAGAAUUUCAUAGGUCCAUUAUCAUGACUGCAAAUCAUGAAUCUCCACAACUGGGAGACAUGUUCAGGGGAUGACAACCCUAUGACCUGGGAGACCCCAUGCCACCAGGACCCUCCACAACAAGAGAGCUGAGGAACCUAAGCCAGCACCACCACCAUGACUCAAGGCACUUGAACUGGUCAGAAUGGCAGAUGAUGCAUCUGGUGAGGGGGAUUGUCUCCUGAUGAAUCUGGGUAACCCCACCUCCUCGCCCACCUUGCCUUGUCUGAUACUGCACCCGGAAACCUGGUGGGCACAGCAGAGAGAGAUUUACAUUUCCCCCCAUAUCCAACCCAGUUCUUAGUCUGUAGUGCACGCCAGGUCCACAUGCUCAUCCAGGAUAACCUCCUGGAUAGCUGUGGUCUUUGUAUUUAUGGACCUGGCACAUAAUAGCACCAGCUUCAGCCAAGGUGGGCUGCUGGGAGAGUUACUGGGGUCUCCUUGUAUGGGGGAAGGACUGGAGGGUGUCAUGGCUUUGAUAUAGCCACCGUGCCUUCACCUCACUGGCCAUGUCCUACCCCUACUGCCAUAUUGCCCUCUGCCAAGGGCCAUCUCAAUUGGAAAGGCCUCCUCCAAAGUAACAGCCCCCCCCAACACAUGUUUUGAAGUGCAACAUCUUAAUAA